GAUGAACGCUGGCGGCGUGCCUAAUACAUGCAAGUCGAGCGGACGGACGCGACUCUUGCUUCUCUGAUGUUAGGGGCGGGCGGGUGAGACACACGUGGAUCACCCCCCUAUAAGACUGAGAUCACCUCGAGACACCGGAGCUAAUACCGGAUAAUAUUUUGAACCGCAUGGUUCAAAAGUGAAUUACGGCCUUGCUGUCUCUUCUCGCUGCAUCCGCGCUGCUUUGGCUAGUUGGUACGGUAACGGCUUACGAAGGCGAGCAUGCGUGGCCGAAGUGAGAGGGGGAUAGGCGACACUGGAACUGGGCCACGGUCCAGAGUCCUAAGGGAGGCAGCAGUAGGGAAUCGUCGGCAAUGGGGGGAAGCCUGACGGAGCGACGCCGCGUGAGUGAUGAAGGUCUUCGGAGCGUAAAACCCUGUUAGUAGGGAAGAACAGUUGUGUAAGGAAACGUGGAGUUCUUGACGGUACCUAAUAAAGAAGCAACGGCUAACUACGUG
rnacentral:rRNA from 1 species